GUCGAGAAUCUUCCGCAAUGCGCGAAAGCGUGACGGAGCGACACCGCGUGAUGGAUGAAGUCCUUCGGGGCGUAAACAUCUUUUAUAAAGGAGGAAAUUUUUGACGUUACUUUAUGAAUAAGGGGCUCCCAAUCUCGUGCCAGCAGGAGCGGUAAUACGAGAGCCUCAAGCGUUAUCCGGAAUCAUUGGGCGUAAAUGGUGCGUAGGUGGUUUGAUUAGUCUCCCGUUAAAACUUCGAGCUUAACUCGAAAAGAGCGGGGGAAACGGUCAAACUAGAGUAUGUGAGAGGUGUGUGGAACUCAUGGUGUAGGGGUGAAAUCCGUUGAUAUCAUGGGGAACACCAAAAGCGAAGGCAGCACACUGGCACAUCACUGACACUGAGGCACGAAACCUAAGGUAGCGAAUGGGAUUAGAAACCCCGGUAGUCC
rnacentral:rRNA from 1 species